UCUGAGAUGGAGAUGAGUGUGCAGGGGUGUGUGGAGAACUCUUGGGAAUAGCACCUUUAAAAAGCCAACAUGAACAGAGGAUUGGAAAGAGUGAAAGAGUAAAUACAUCAGGAGUAGAUGUUUGCAGCGUGGUGAGUUUGACCAAAACCAAAGCCGAAGCAGUCUAUUGGAGGGUAAAGUUUCUGCUUCAAGGCAUUUGGAAACCACACUCAAGGAAACCAUAGGCCAUAGGAGAGAUAAGGAUGUUUAUUUGCAGCCAUCAAGAGAAGAAGAUGGUACAAAGAGGAACUGUGAACAAAAGG